AUGUUGGAACCAUCAAAGUUGAUCCUGGACAUGAAAGAUUUCAUUGGAAAUCAUGUACUACAUGGUUUUACAACGAAUUUUCUUCCUUUAGUAGGAGUACAUAGCAGUGACAGGACAGCCCUGGUGUUCUCUUGUGAAGAGCUAAACCCUAAUUUCACGCCAGCUCCCACAAAGCACUCCGAUCCGGUUCUUAUCUGCCAUGGCCGGUUCUUCUCUGCAAUUAGCAUAUACCAAUCUGCUUCUCGCCUUCGCGGCCGCUGCCUUGUCCGACAGCAGCUCCUCGCCUUCUCGGAUCGCACCGUGCGAGUUCUUGGACAUGACGGAGAGCGGUGGACGCAUCGGCGGCGCGUGCUGAUCGGGGCGACGGCCGGGCUUGUCGAAGUAGCAGCACGGCUGGAAGCGGGCGAGGUCCUGCGCGCUCUGCACACGCCGCAUCAUCGGUGUCGGCGCUGGACCGGCGACGCGCGCGGCCGUGCACGGGUCGCUCUGCACGCGCCGCAGCGUCCCCGGGUGCAGCGGGGGACGCCCAGACGCCGCGGGCCGCUGGACGCCGGAGAAGAACACCCGGAAGGUCGCCGACGGCCGCGUGGCCUUCAGGCGGUCGUGCUCGUCGCGCAAGUGGGCGAGCUCCUCGUCGCAGGUGACGGACACGAGCACUUCCUCGUCGUCGGCGAGGCGGUACUUGAGAGCUGA
rnacentral:rRNA from 1 species